rnacentral:tRNA from 1 species
CAGAGGGUAACCUAAACACUUAAGGUGCUCAACUUACAAUUGAAAAAUGUUCCCACGAACCCCCCUGG